rnacentral:rRNA from 1 species
AUUGAACGCUGGCGGCAGGCCUAACACAUGCAAGUCGAACGAGUGGCGGACGGGUGCGUAAUGUCUGGGAAACUGCCCGUUGGAGGGGGAUAACUACUGGAAACGGUAGCCAAUACCGCAUACCAUCGGAUGUGCCCAGAUGGGAUGAGCUAGUAGGUGGGGUAACGGCUCACCUAGGCGACGAACCCUAGCUGGUCUGAGAGGAUGACGGGCCACCCUGGAACUGAGCAACGGCCCGGACUCCUGCGGGAGGCAGCGUAGGGGAGUAUUGGGCAAUGUGCGCAGGCCUGAUGCGACCAUGCCGCGUAUAUGAGGAAGUCCUUCGGGUUGUAAAAUACUUUCAGCGAGAAGGCGUUACUCGCAGAAGAAGCACCGGCUAACUCCGUGCCAGCAGCCGCGGUAAUAC